UUACACUGAAAUGCAAAUAUCUCGUAGAAAUUAUGUUUAUUCAAUCUAUUUCAAUAGUAAUUUUUCCCUUUCUUCAACCUCAAUGAUGCUGCGUUUGAUCUCUCCAAUAGGGUGGGCACUAAAGAACUCAGUAAUUAACCUACACUAUAGAUACAUUGCUGUAACUAACAUAGAAUUUAUUUCUUUUACUUCGGCUCCUAUCCAUCAUCCAACAAUUGCGUAGCGUGGUGGUGAGGUGCUCAAGUCUAAACUCUGGAGACCCUUGUUUGAUUC
rnacentral:lncRNA from 1 species